rnacentral:ncRNA from 2 species
GAUCCCGAGGAGCGCUGCAACGGGUUCCGGCAUCGCCGGAGCCGCCAGGCUCGGGACUCUUCCCUCUGUUGCAACGGCGCUCGUUGAAC